rnacentral:rRNA from 2 species
GGGUUGUGAGGUUAAGCGACUAAGCGUACACGGUGGAUGCCCUGGCAGUCAGAGGCGAUGAAGGACGUGCUAAUCUGCGAAAAGCGUCGGUAAGGUGAUAUGAACCGUUACAGCCGGCGAUGUCCGAAUGGGGAAACCCAGUGCAAUUCGUUGCACUAUCGUUAACUGAAUACAUAGGUUAACGAGGCGAACCGGGGGAACUGAAACAUCUAAGUACCCCGAGGAAAAGAAAUCAACCGAGAUUCCCCCAGUAGCGGCGAGCGAACGGGGAGCAGCCCAGAGUCUGAAUCAGCUUGUGUGUUAGUGGAACGGUCUGGAAAGUCCGACGGUACAGGGUGAUAGUCCCGUACACCAAAAUGCACAGGUUGUGAACUCGAAGAGUAGGGCGGGACACGUGGUAUCCUGUCUGAAUAUGGGGGGACCAUCCUCCAAGGCUAAAUACUCCUGACUGACCGAUAGUGAAC